rnacentral:lncRNA from 1 species
CACAUUUUUUUUUCGGAUGCAAGUGUAAUUCCUUUCCAAAGAAAGGCAAAAGCUACAGCGUCUUAUGCGAUUUUUCAAUCGAUCGCUGAAGAUAAUGAUGAGGCAGAACGGAUUUGUGGAUUACUCUAUGCUUCAGAUGACUCCCUUAAAGAUGCCAACUAUACCGGCCACUCAGCUUCAGAUUCGGAUUUGGAUUCAUUUUCUCCUGUAACUUCUCCCCCAAAUGAGAUUGAUCGGGAUUUCAAGGCACGGUAUCCAAAGGAAGAUGGCGCCUUACUGACUAAAUGGUUGCGAGGGUUUGCGAAGAAAAUUGUCUGUCACGUUAUUGACAUCUUCCCCGAAAGGAAGGAUCUGAAGCUGCUCAUCUGCGGGACCCUCAAAUAUGAUCUUACCGGAGAAGAUGACGAGAGCUACAUCCUCAACGCGCUUCGCCUACUACCUCUGAUUUUACCAUCGCUGACUGUCAAACAAACCUAUAGACUGGGAAAACUUGAGGCUUUAGGUGGUUUUUUCCUUGAAGCAAGUAACGUCAUGGACGCAGUUGAACGGCUGAAUUGCAGGGCUAAACGACUAGUUGAACAUCAGGUACCUGAGCAACCGACUCCAGUUGCUAUUAGCUCCCUGGACCAAAGAAAAUUCUAUGUUGUUAUAAACACAAUUUUUUACGAAUGUGAUUUGGUUCUAAAAUCAAUUGAUGUUACCUUCAAACUUCUCGUGAUUUUGCAAGUGCCUUAUGCCUCCAGAUUGUACUCUUUUAUGGUUAUUCCUCAAGUACUAUGUAUACAAUAUUGA